UACGGAUCAACGCCGCGUGAGUGAAGAAGGCCUUCGGGUUGUAAAACUCUGUCUUCAGGGAAGAAACAAAUGACGGUACCUGAGGAGGAAGCCACGGCUAACUACGUGCCAGCAGCCGCGGUAAUACGUAGGUGGCAAGCGUUGUCCGGAAUUACUGGGCGUAAAGAGCGCGUAGGCGGGAAUUUAAGUCAGGAGUGAAAACUGUGGGCUCAACCUACAGCCUGCUCUUGAAACUGGAUUUCUUGAGGGUAUGAGAGGAAAGCGGAAUUCCUAGUGUAGCGGUGAAAUGCGUAGAUAUUAGGAGGAACACCAGUGGCGAAGGCGGCUUUCUGGCAUACAACUGACGCUGAGGCGCGAAAGCGUGGGGAGCAAACGGGAUUAGAUACCCCGGUAGUCCACGCCGUAAACGAUGGAUACUAGGUGUAGGAGGUAUCGACCCCUUCUGUGCCGUAGUUAACACAAUAAGUAUCCCGCCUGGGGAGUACGGCCGCAAGGUUGAAACUCAAAGGAAUUGACGGGGGCCCGCACAAGCGGUGGAGUAUGUGGUUUAAUUCGACGCAACGCGAAGAACCUUACCAGGGCUUGACAUCCUCUGAUUGCCCGUAAGAGAUACGGAGUUCUGCCUUCGGGUAGACAGAAGAGACAAGGUGGUGCAUGGUUGUCGUCAAGCUCGUGUCGUGAGAU
rnacentral:rRNA from 1 species